rnacentral:rRNA from 1 species
CAGCCGCCGCGGUAAUACGUAGGGUGCGAGCGUUAAUCGGAUUUACUGGGCGUAAAGCGUGCGCAGGCGGCCCGUUAAGACAGGUGUGAAAUCCCUGGGCUCAACCUAGGAAUUGCGCUUGUGACUGGCGGGCUCGAGUACGGUAGAGGGGGGUGGAAUUCCUGGUGUAGCAGUGAAAUGCGUAGAGAUCAGGAGGAACACCGAUGGCGAAGGCAGCCCCCUGGGCCUGUACUGACGCUCAUGCACGAAAGCGUGGGGAGCAAACAGGAGUAGAUGCCCUGGUAGUCCACGCCCUAAACGAUGGGUACUAGCCGUUUGGUGCGCGAGAGCGCUGAGUGGCGAAGCUAACGCGUGAAGUACCCCGCCUGGGGAGUACGGCCGCAAGGUUGAAACUUAAAGGAAUUGGCGGG